GACGGAGGGCGCGAACGUUGUUCGGAAUCACUGGGCGUAAAGGGCGCGUAGGCGGGCCGGUAAGUCGAGGGUGAAAUUCCAGGGCUCAACUCUGGAACUGCCUUCGAAACUGUCGGCCUAGAGUGCAGGAGAGGAAGGCGGAAUUCCAGGUGUAGCGGUGGAAUGCGUAGAUAUCUGGAAGAACACCAGUGGCGAAGGCGGCCUUCUGGACUGACACUGACGCUGAGGCGCGAAAGCUGGGGGAGCAAACAGGAUUAGAUACCCUGGUAGUCCCAGCCGUAAACGAUGGGUACUAGGUGCUGGGUGCUUCGACGCACUCAGCGCCGCAGCUAACGCAUUAAGUACCCCGCCUGGGGAGUACGGCCGCAAGGCUGAA
rnacentral:rRNA from 1 species